rnacentral:rRNA from 1 species
AACGAACGCUGGCGGCAUGCCUAACACAUGCAAGUCGAACGAGACCUUCGGGUCUAGUGGCGCACGGGUGCGUAACGCGUGGGAACCUGCCCUUAGGUUCGGAAUAACUCCCCGAAAGGGGUGCUAAUACCGGAUAAUGUCUUCGGACCAAAGAUUUAUCGCCUUUGGAUGGGCCCGCGUUGGAUUAGCUAGUUGGUAGGGUAAAAGCCUACCAAGGCGAGGAUCCAUAGCUGGUCUGAGAGGAUGAUCAGCCACACUGGGACUGAGACACGGCCCAGACGUCGAAGGGAGGCAGCAGGAGGGAAGCUUCGGCAAGGGAAGAAAGUCGGAUCGAGAAACGCAGCGUGAGGGAAGAAGGGUUUCGGAUCGGAAAAAGAGGUUGGUAGAGAAGAGAGCUGGGGAGAGGGGAAAGCUCAUCAAGUGACGGUAAGUACACAGAAAGGGACGGCUAAAGACGUG